rnacentral:rRNA from 1 species
GACGAACGCUAGCGGCGUGCUUAACACAUGCAAGUCGAACGGGCCUUGUCCCCUUUUUUUUUGGGGGUGGGGUUAGUGGCGAACGGGUGAGUAACACGUGAGUAACCUGCCCCUCACUUCUGGAUAACCGCUUGAAAGGGUGGCUAAUACGGGGUGUUCUGGUCUGCUCGCAUGGGUGGGUUUGGAAAGAUUCGACCGGUUUUGGUUGUUUUGGUGGGGGAUGGGCUCGCGGCCUAUCAGCUUGUUGGUGGGGUGAUGGCCUGCCAAGGCUUUGACGGGUAGCCGGCCUGAGAGGGUGGGCGGUCACACUGGGACUGAGACACGGCCCAGACUCCUACGGGAGGCAGCAGUGGGGAAUAUUGCACAAUGGGCGCAAGCCUGAUGCAGCGACGCCGCGUGAGGGAUGGAGGCCUUCGGGUUGUGAACCUCUUUCGCCAGUGAAGAAGGUCCUGCUCUUUGUGGUGGGGUUGACGGUAGCUGGGUUAAUGAAGCGCCGGCUAACUACGU